AAUACACAGGGAUUGUAGAAAGGGACUUAACAGCUUCUGUAAAGUAAGGAGAACUAUUUGCACUGCAUUUAGGAGUAUUUGCAUGAUCAGGCUCUAAAUCAUCAUAAAAAUGACAGCUUCAAAUUGCCUAUUGGACUUCAGAAGAAAAUAAUAAAGUGAAAAAUGACCCAUAUGGAUCAUGCCCUGAAACUGACCACCUCAAAAUGACUGUUGCAAUACACAUAGAAGUCAAUGGAAGGUUAUCAAGACUUACAGGAAUAAUUUGACACAGCUAAACAUCUGCUUUGUCUUCAAAGAUACAGAAGAAAAAAGAAAGAGAAGAAAGUUCUGAGAGAGGAAAUUGCACAGAAAUUGCAUAAAUCCUUACUGUCAAUUGCGUCAGCUAGUGAUUUCCUUACUCUAAACCAGAUGAAGAAUUUCAGUUCUAUGACAUUUGAGGUUUCAUAUUUGCUGUGUAAGCUACUGAGAAGAGAACCAGACUGUGAUGGUGCCGCAAGAGCUAAAACCCCCAAAAUGGCUCAUGAUGUGGAAUUAAGACAAAACAUGAUUUGCAA